rnacentral:rRNA from 1 species
AGUGAACGCUGGCGGCAGGCCUAACACAUGCAAGUCGAACGGCCGCACAGUAAGCGCUUGCCCUUACGGGUGGCGAGUGGCGGACGGGUGAGGAAUACAUCGGAAUCUACUUUUUCUUGGGGGACAACGGAGGGAAACAUACGCUAAUACCGCAUAUGUUCUACGGCUGAAAUCAGGGGAUCAUCGCACCUUUCGCGAUUCAAAUAGCCGAUGUCGGAUUAGCUAGUUGGCGUGGUAAAGGCCCACCAAGGCGACGAUCCGUAGCUGGUCUGAGAGGAUGAUCAGCCACACUGGAACUGAGACACGGUCCAGACUCCUACGGGAGGCAGCAGUGGGGAAUAUUGGACAAUGGGCGAAAGCCUGAUCCAGCCAUACCGCGUGAGUGAAGAAGGCCUUCGGGUUGUAAAGCCCUUUUGUUGGGAAAGAAAAGCUGCAGGUUUAUACCCCGCUGUUCUGACGGUACCCAAAGAAUAAGCACCGGCUAACUUCGUG